UACAGAGGGUGCAAGCGUUAAUCGGAAUUACUGGGCGUAAAGCGCGCGUAGGCGGUUUCGUAAGUCGGGUGUGAAAUCCCCGGGCUCAACCUGGGAAUUGCAUUCGAGACUGCGGAGCUAGGGUGCGGAAGAGGGAAGUGGAAUUUCCGGUGUAGCGGUGAAAUGCGUAGAUAUCGGAAGGAACAUCAGUGGCGAAAGCGACUUCCUGGUCCAGCACCGACGCUCAGGCGCGAAAGCGUGGGGAGCAAAC
rnacentral:rRNA from 1 species